UCUACACCUUUUCACUCUCCUAAUUUUUUUAACCUUUCCCUCCAGAGUUUUACAUUCUCGCUCUACUCAAGGGUUUCCACACAUUUCCAAACCCACAUUCUCGUUUUUGUUCAGAAUGCUCCGUCAAGCUCGAUUUGGAUUCAUCGAAUCAGCGUUCAUCUUCUCAUCUCCGUCCAAGGUUUUACACCCACUCUCCUAAAUUUUUUCCUAAAUUUCCAAACACUAGCAUUUUCGUUUUUGUUCAGAAAGGUUCGUCAUCAAAUUGGCGUUCUGAAAGCUCGUUCUGGAAGUUUGAUUUGGAUCCAUCAAACCGGUGUUCAUCUUCGUCCUCGCUCGUCCGCCAUUGCUCGUCGUCUCCGUCAUCGCUCAUCGGCCAGUGGUCGUCGAUCAGUGCUCGUUGGCCGUUGCUCGUCUCUUAGUGAUCGUCUCUUAGGACUCAUGGAUGAGUUUCCCAUACCACAAAGAGAAAAUCCAAAAAUCAAUUCAGUUCAUACCUUCAUAGGGGUUUGCUAACGGGAUGUUUGCUCUAAUCCUUUCAUUUGGCCUUCUCCUCACUGCAUUAAGAAGCAGAAAGGCUAGGUCAUGGCGCUAUGGUAGUGUAGCAGGCUAUUUAUCUCUUUCUUUCUGGGAUGAGAUUGGGGAGAGUGACAAUGAUAAAGACAACAUGCUUCUUCAACUAGAGCAAGAAUGCCUGGACAUUUAUCACAGGAGAGUUGAGGAGACGAGGAAGCACAAGGCUGACAUGUAUUAGUGGUUGGCAGAUGUUGAAGCUCAAGCAACUAAUAUUGUUUCUUCCCUUGGGGAAUCUACAAUGCUCCCACAAGGAAAAGGAUCCUUGAAGCAGCAAUUAGAUACCAUUAAACUUGUCUUAGAGGAUUUGAGGUCAAAGAAGGAUGAAAGAAUAAAGGAAUUUUUAAAGAUAAAGUCCCAAAUUUCUCAAAUAUGUGAUGAAAUAGCAGGUUGUGGACAAUACACAAGUGUCACAGACUCAGAUGUUAAUCAAAGUGAUUUGACAUCAAAGAAAUUGGGGGAACUCAAGUCGCAUCUACAGGAGCUUCAGAAUGAAAAGGUUUUACCAAAUUCAUAAUACAGAUAAAUAAUGUUGAUAGUUCCAGAUAAGAGGAGUUGUUAAAGUCAAGCCUCAUGGUCCCAUCACUAAGUUCCCUCUCACUUUCUCUUUAUCUCUUUCUUUCUUUUACAAUCACUUUUUCAUUUGGUUGUUUAGAACAAGUUGUUGAGGUUAAUAUUGAUGUGAUAUUACUAUGAUUCUAAGUCAGUAAAAUGUUAAAGACACUUCUAUUGUUAGUGCAGAAUAAAAUGCUUCUUUGAGAGAUUGUGAUUACCUAGAUGUCUUGGUAAAUGAGAGUGAUAGUAUGAGAAUUGAAGUUUACAUAGUUAAGAUAAGGGUAAUAUAUUUAUUGCAUGUUCUGCACCAACAUUCCUUGUAUUUGGAAUGGAGACCAGGUCAUAGUAAGUUCUAAAUUUAUUUCUGUUGCUGCUUAGGUAAUAUAUAAGGGUUAUAUCCAUCAUUAGUUUUUUCAUUAUUUCCUAUGUUAUUGGUGUUAUAUUUAAUAAGUAGUUACUCUUCUUCUUCGACCCUCUUUUUUAUGUAGCCUCUUAGAAUUUUCUUGUCUUCUCUCCAAUUCAGAAAUAGUCACCAGAUUUGAAGAAACAAAAGUGUAUCAGGGUAGAUUUCUCUCCUAAGGGUUAAAAGAGUGAGCGAGUAUCUCAAUGCUUCCCAAACUAAAUUCCACCUUUAUUCCUACCUCUGCUUUGUCUGAUGCUCCUCAUAAUUGUAGAUAACAUGUGAAAUGAUGGCUUCUCAAUUUUAGGCUUUUCUUGAUGCUACUGAGUGUCUCCAUAAAACACAAAAGCUUGCCGGCAAACCUGCUGGAAUUAUCUCCAGCACUCGAUACCAAGGUGGUCAAGAAGAGACUACAAUUACAUUAUUUACUGAUUGUGAUGGUAUCAUCCCUCUAGUUCACCGUGGAAUGGUAUUUGUUCCAUUCGGAAUAAGAUUUACAUACAACCAUGAGUUUGAAAAUAUGGAGGAAGUGAAAGGUGGAAGUCCUUAUGGUUCACGAGCAUGGCUAUUACUUGCAUACUUUGUGUGUUUGGCGCAAAGAAAGCUAAUAGAUUUGAAGCAAUCACUUCCUCCAGCGAAACUGAAAGAUAUGAGCAAUUUUGUCAUAGGCCGCUUUGGGAUGAUUGUGGACAACUUUAAAGUUGCCAAAGAUCCAAACAUUGGUUCUUAUUCUAUCUCAUUCCAACAUUAAUUUGUGUACAGAAAAGUCAUAGCAUCAAUGAUGUUUGAAACCUUUUUAACUCUAUUUGCUAAUAUUUGGUUAGGUCUCGAUUUCAUUAAUUCCAUAACUUUCAUUUUCUUGGUUGGGGUUUUCUUGUCAUUAUGGUUGGGUGCAUCUGUCCUGGGCCUUAGGGAGUGGUUUAUCAAGCGAAUGCCACUUGUUCAUCUUAUUGGAUUGGAAAGGAAUAGGUUCUUUCUAUAUGUGUCCUUUUCUUCAUUUUAUCUUUAAAAUCUAUUUCCCAUUUCUUACUUUUUCUUCAAACAGUGACGUCGUCCACAUGGUUAGCAAUGCACCUCUCUUCAUAAACGCCAACGAUAGAAGAAGGUGGACACCGGAUGUAGUUGUAUUUGAUUCUCACCAACGCAUGGAACUCCUAGUUAUUUGAUUUUUGUGUAUAUUUUUUUCAACAUUAAGUAUUUUCUUUUUUAAUAUUUAUAUUGUAAUUGUUAACACUUUAUCAAAUCAACAAUAAAAUUAAUUUUAGUUCA